ACAACAUUCGGAGGAGCGUCGGUCUACCGAGCAAUAUCACCCGCUCGGUAGAAGAUCUUCCCUAUCAUCGU
rnacentral:pre_miRNA from 1 species